UACGGAGGGUGCGAGCGUUGUCCGGAAUCACUGGGCGUAAAGGGCGCGUAGGUGGCCUGUGGAAGUCUGCGGUGAAAGCCCGGCGCUCAACGCCGGGUCGGCCGUGGAUACUCUCGGGCUCGAGCUCACUAGAGGCAGAUGGAAUUCCGGGUGUAGCGGUGGAAUGCGUAGAGAUCCGGAAGAACACCGGUGGCGAAGGCGGUGAGCUGGGCAGUUGCUGACACUGAGGCGCGACAGCGUGGGGAGCAAACAGG
rnacentral:rRNA from 1 species